rnacentral:misc_RNA from 1 species
AACGCUGACACGCUCUCG